AUUGAACGCUGGCGGAAUGCUUUACACAUGCAAGUCGAACGGCAGCACGGGUGCUUGCACCUGGUGGCGAGUGGCGAACGGGGGGUAAUAUUAUGGAACGGAACCAGGUAAGGGGGGAAACGGAUCGAAAGAUUCGGCAAUUACGGAUAACGCCUGGGGGGGGAAAGGGGGGGACCGAAGGACUUCGGUUAUUGGAGCGGGCGAUAUCUGAAUAGCUAGUUGGUGGGGUAAAGGCCCACCAAGGCGACGAUCAGUAGCUGGUCUGAGAGGACGACCAGCCACACUGGAACUGAGACACGGUCCAGACUCCUACGGGAGGCAGCAGUGGGGAAUUUUGGACAAUGGGGGCAACCCUGAUCCAGCCAUUCCGCGUGCGGGAAGAAGGCCUUCGGGUUGUAAACCGCUUUUGUCAGGGAAGAAAUAUUCCGGGCUAAUACCCCGGGAGGAUGACGGUACCUGAAGAAUAAGCACCGGCUAACUACGUGCCAGCCGCCGCCGUAA
rnacentral:rRNA from 1 species